AAGAACGAAGCUAUUUUUAGCAUUUAACUGUUAAUUAAAAGAUCGCAUUUCUAUGCCGUUCUUA
rnacentral:tRNA from 1 species